AGGAUGCCGGAUAACGUCCGGUGGAGGCGACUCCAAGGCCAGUGCAACAGAAAUAUACCGCCUGAGGUGACUCGGGUAAGGGUGGAAAGGCAGCGUAAGAGACUACCGCCCUGCUGGUAACAGCAGGGGCACAUGUAAACCCCAUCCGAAGCAAGACCGAAUAAAGACUGUGUGGCGGCCCGUCACGUCUUAGGUAGGUCGCUGGAGCCUGCCGGUAACGGCAGGUCUAGAUAGAUGAUUACUCAACGACAUAACCCGGCUUAUCGUUAUGCUUGCAAU
rnacentral:RNase_P_RNA from 1 species